CCCGCUGAACUUAAGCAUAUCAAUAAGCGGAGGAAAAGAAACUAACAAGGAUUCCCCUAGUAACUGCGAGUGAAGCGGGAAAAGCUCAAAUUUAAAAUCUGGCGGUCCUCUGGGCUGUCCGAGUUGUAAUCUGGAGAAGCGUUUUCCGCGUCGGACCGUGUACAAGUCUUCUGGAACGAAGCGUCAUAGAGGGUGAGAAUCCCGUCUCUGACACGGACCGCCGAUGCUUUAUGUGAUACGCUCUCGAAGAGUCGAGUUGUUUGGGAAUGCAGCUCAAAAUGGGUGGUAAAUUCCAUCUAAAGCUAAAUAUUGGCGAGAGACCGAUAGCGAACAAGUACCGUGAGGGAAAGAUGAAAAGCACUUUGGAAAGAGAGUUAAACAGUACGUGAAAUUGUUGAAAGGGAAACGUUUGAAGUCAGUCGCGUCGGCCGAGACUCAACCUUGCCAUCUCGGCUCGGUGCAUUUCUCGGUUGACGGGUCAGCAUCAAUUUCGGGCGUCGGAUAAAGGCUGAGGGAACGUGGCAUCCUUCGGGGUGUGUUAUAGCCCUCGGUUCGCAUACGACGAUCGGGAUUGAGGAACUCAGCACGCCUUCAUUGGUCGGGGCUUCGGCUCACGUUAACGUGCUUAGGAUGCUGGCGUAAUGGCUUUAAGCGACCCGUCUUGAAACAC
rnacentral:rRNA from 1 species